UGGGGAAUAUUGGACAAUGGGCGAAAGCCUGAUCCAGCCAUGCCGCGUGUGUGAAGAAGGUCUUCGGAUUGUAAAGCACUUUAAGUUGGGAGGAAGGGCAGUAAGCGAAUACCUUGCUGUUUUGACGUUACCGACAGAAUAAGCACCGGCUAACUCUGUGCCAGCAGCCGCGGUAAUACAGAGGGUGCAAGCGUUAAUCGGAAUUACUGGGCGUAAAGCGUGCGUAGGCGGCUAAUUGAGUCGGAUGUGAAAUCCCCGAGCUUAACUUGGGAAUUGCAUUCGAUACUGGUUAGCUAGAGUGUGGGAGAGGAUGGUAGAAUUCCAGGUGUAGCGGUGAAAUGCGUAGAGAUCAGGAGGAAUACCGAUGGCGAAGGCAGCCAUCUGGCCUAACACUGACGCUGAGGUACGAAAGCAUGGGGAGCAAACAGG
rnacentral:rRNA from 1 species